rnacentral:lncRNA from 1 species
CCUGCCAAUUCACCUUGUACACAAGGCGCGACUUGGAGGCCCGGUUCAAUGCAGGUGGAUGUAUCCAUUCGAGAGGUAAUGAUCAAACCUUUAUUUAUUCUUGUAAUUUUCUUUAACGUUAUCGUCUAAUAUGACAAUGUACAGGACUAUUGGCAAGUGUAAACGAUUUGUUAAACAGAGGAAUAGGAUUGAAGGAUCCAUAUGCGAAGCCUAUCUUGCAAAGGAAACUGCCCAUUUUUAUUCUUACUACUUUGACAGUCAUGUGCCAUGUGCUAGAAAUAGGCCCAAUCGAUACAAUGUGGUAAUUGAGAUUGAUCCAUUAUAUCCACCAAUGUCCAUAUUCAAUCAACCAGGCCGAGGUUCUAAAGAUCGAGCACAAAGGGGCCUAACUAGUAU